ACAUGACUCUCGGCAACGGAUAUCUCAGCUCUCGCAUCGAUGAAGAACGUAGCGAAAUGCGAUACCUGGUGUGAAUUGCAGAAUCCCGCGAACCAUAGAGUCUUUGAACGCAAGUUGCGCCCGAGGCCUUUGGGCCGAGGGCACGCCUGCCUGGGCGUCACGC
rnacentral:rRNA from 1 species